GACGAACGCUGGCGGCGUGCUUUAUACAUGCAAGUCGAACGGUAUUUCCGGUGUGCUUGCUCUCCGGUGGGUAAGCGGCGGGCGAGUGAGCAAAACGUACGCAAACUGCGCAUAAAACCGGGCUAACAUUCGGCAAAGACUGCAUAUAACGGAUAGACGGACCCCUGGCAUCGGGGGGCAGGGUUAGGCGGCGCAACCUUGCGCCGACGGAUGUGGCUGUGGCGCAUUAGCUGGUUGGUGGGGUAACGGCCUACCAAGGCGACGCUGCGUAGCCGGCCUGAGAGGGUGAUCGGCCACACUGGGACUGAGACACGGCCCAGACUCCUACGGGAGGCAGCAGUAGGGAAUCUUCCGCAAUGGACGCAAGUCUGACGGAGCAACGCCGCGUGAGUGAGGAAGGCCUUCGGGUCGUAAAGCUCUGUUGCCAGGGAAGAACGGGUAGGGGAGUAACUGCCCUUGCCAUGACGGUACCUGAGAAGAAAGCCCCGGCUAACUACGUG
rnacentral:rRNA from 1 species